CAGUAGCCGCGGGAAUACGUAGGGUGCGAGCGUUAAUCGGAAUUACUGGGCGUAAAGCGUGCGCAGGCGGUUUUGUAAGACAGGCGUGAAAUCCCCGGGCUCAACCUGGGAAUGGCGCUUGUGACUGCAAAGCUAGAGUGCGGCAGAGGGGGAUGGAAUUCCGCGUGUAGCAGUGAAAUGCGUAGAUAUGCGGAGGAACACCGAUGGCGAAGGCAAUCCCCUGGGCCUGCACUGACGCUCAUGCACGAAAGCGUGGGGAGCAAACAGGAUUAGAUACCCCUGUAGUCCCUGUCUCUUAUAC
rnacentral:rRNA from 1 species